UAGCUCAGUCGGUUAGAGCAUGGUGCUGAUAACUCCAAGGUCGCGGGUUCAAUCCCUC
rnacentral:tRNA from 1 species